rnacentral:lncRNA from 1 species
GAGGCAUGUAUGUGUUAAGGGAAAGAGGCCCUGGGAGCCAGGAAUGCAGGGCAGAUCAGAGCGAGCCAAACCAGGAAUGGAAGUUCUCACAGUCACUACUGAGCCCAGGGACAGACCAAGGUAAUCUACGGCUUUUCUGUGGCUAUUCCCUUGCUUAGAUGGCUCUUUUCUCCAGUCUUCGCCUGAAAAGAAAAAGCACUACCCGUGACUUAAGAUCCAGCUAAGCUGUCACCUCUUCCCUGAAACACCCCCUCAUCCCCUCGGGUCAUUCACACAGGUCAGCAUGGUGCAUCACUUUGUUCCUCUUCUCAGAAGCGCUGCCAACCCAGGGUCGUCCCAAGCCCAGUUUAUAUCGUCAAGGUCCUCAGCGUCUUAGAACAGUGUCUUAUUAAAAUACUCUGUGUCUGGAAGACACUUUGUUCACCAAAGGUCAGAGACCUGAGCAGAGAAGUCAGGAGAAAGAGAUGAGCCCCUCCACAGCUCACACAGACUGUACUGGGAAUGGAACCUGGGACUUGACACAUAUGAGGCAGUUAAAAAGAGCAGGAGCUGAGAACAACAGAGGGAACAUAGACGAGCAAGUUAUGGAUUUCACUAUGCAGAACUCACAUGGGGAAAUAUUCGAAUCAAGGCUCCAUGAAGGGCUAGGCUGGAGCUGGAAUGAAAGAGCUGUCAUCCAGGUUCCAAUACUUGGUUACUAUUCCUGUGAUUAAAUACGAUGCUGUGGGUGUAGCUCAGUGUGGAACAUUCGCCAACAUGUACAAGGCUCUGGGGUUUGAGAAGAAAGGAAAAAGGGAGCAAGAAAUUCAAGCUGAGAUGUAGGUGAGUUGGUGGUACUCUGUUGGCCAGAAGGCUAAGUGCCCUGACUGGAGCUUGCAGAGAGAGGCCUCAACCAAAUCUGUCCACGCCACUCAUCUGCCUUGUUUCAGCUACAGGCUGACCCCUGUAGUGGGGGAUGCAGUGGAGGAAGAUGGGUCUGACUGUUAUCAGAAUGUGGUGAAGACGGGGUAGUAGUGUACCCCAAUUGGGUAGAGAAGGACAAACUUAUCAAAACACAAGAAAAACACUGACGUGCUAAGAAGAGAUGCCACUGGAUUUAAAAUGAAGCGUCACAGAAAGUCUUGUGUGCAGGAACAGUGUCAUUGAAGGACUAGCAGAAGAUCUAACUGCAAGCUAGACAGUGGUGAACAGGACUCCAGAGGGAUAACCAAAGGUAAAUGAAACAUUGGCCU